rnacentral:rRNA from 1 species
UGGGGAAUUUUGCACAAUGGGGGAAACCCUGAUGCAGCGACGCCGCGUGAUUUAGAAGGCCUUCGGGUUGUCAAAAUCUUUUCUAUGGGAAGAAAAUGACAGUACCAUAGGAAUUAGGACCGGCUAAUUACGUGCCAGCAGCCGCGGUAAUACGUAAGGUCGUAGCGUUGGCCGGAAUCAUUGGGCGUAAAGGGUACGUAGGCGGGUAAGCAAGUUAGAAGUGAAAUCCUAUAGCUCAACUAUAGUAAGCUUUUAAAACUGCUCAUCUUGAGGUAUGGAAGGGAAAGUGGAAUUCCUAGUGUAGCGGUGAAAUGCGCAGAUAUUAGGAGGAAUACCGGUGGCGAAGGCGACUUUCUGGCCAUAACCUGACGCUGAGGUACGAAAGCGUGGGUAGCAAACAGG